GAUAAUUUUUUGAAUUCCUAAACAUGGUUGAAUUUUUAUAAUUUUGACGCUUGAAUUGCAUACGAUAAUUUUUAUGAGUUUCCUCUACCCGGGAACACAACUUUUGUGACUCUAUGGAAUGACAGGUUCAUUUGUAUCUGUAGCCUUUAGGAGCGUCUGAAAGAAUUUGUUUAGCCUCUCAGAGCAUGCUGAGCUUCCCGGGAGUCCAAACUAAUACGUCUCCAAACACCUGCACGAUCAGUUGCAGAAAGGGCUCCCCAGAAAUCUCAGUAUGGCCUCUUCAAGAAGGAGCUAAGUCCCUCCUCUGCCCGGGAACCCAGACGCACCAUUUCCCAGCGCCCCUGGCAGCGGAGCUCUGCCUUUUUUUUUGUUUGUUUUUCCUGCCUUCUUUACUAGAGGUCGGCGGGCAGAAUCCUCACACUCGGCCAGUGGCUCUGCGGGAACUACAUUACCCAGAACGCUCCACGACGGGCGGCAGCGCCACUCAGCCAAUCAAAGUCUCAUAAAAGGGGCCUUUCCGUAUCAGGUGCAAUUCAUAAGGGAGGGACUUCCGGUUUCCUUCUCGUGGCGGCCAUUUUAACUGCGGUGGGUCUGUUCUGGUUCCGGACUUCUGGGUUUGGACCGACCUGACGGCCAACAAGGUCCGAGAAGAGGCCUUGUUCCCCGAGGACAACAGACCUCAGUGGCAGCGGUGGUGCUGAGGGACCCGCCUCAGCAGGGCAAUGUGACCUUUGAGGAUGUGGCCAUGUACUUCUCUUUGGAGUAAUGGAAUCUCCUUGAUGAGCCUCACAGAUGCCUGUACCAAGAUGUGAUACUGGAGAAUUUGGCACUUGUAACCUCCCUGGAGUCUGGGAAGUUGAAGAUCAAGGCACUGGCCUUGUGGAAAGAGCCUCCUUUUUUUCUACGAAAAGAAUAGGUUGUUGGUGUGGAGUGGAGGAUAAGGAAGCAUCUUCUGAGCACAGCAUUUCUGCCAAAGUAAUGCCACAGGAUAGGACUCUCAAAGCAGGUCUGUCUCCCCAGAAGGCCCACCUCUGUGAGAUGUGUGGACCCAUGUUGAGAGACAGUUUGCACUUGGUUGUACACCAGGAAACAUACCACAGGCAGAAACUGCACAUGUGUGGGGCAUGUGGAAAACAACUUCCUCUCACUGCAGACCUUUAUCAGCUGCACAAGCAGCAUGUUGGAGAGAAAUGCUUCAAAAGCAGCAUGAGCAGAGCCUUGUUCUUGAAGAGCUGCUAAUUCCAUGUGUCAGGGAAAUCCUUUACCUGUAAGGAGGUUGGGAAGGACUUUCUGGCCAGCUCGGGACAUCUUCAGCAACAGGUCACUCACACCAGGGAGAAGUCAAACAGUGGAGCAGAGUGUGUGGUGGCCUUCCACAGUGUAAACAACCAUUACAACCGGCUAGAGUGUAUGAAAGCUUGCAGCCCCAAACACACCCUUGUUCAGCACCAGAGUCCUCAAGAGGGAAAGAUCUUACAGGUGCUGUGAGUGUGGGAAAUCCUUUAGAAAAAACUGUAGCCUCAGGGAGCAUUUGAGAGUUCACACUAGAGAAAAGCCUUAUGAGUGUGGGGAAGGUGGAAAAUUAUUUAGCAAGAAGUACAACCUUAUGCAUCGAAAAGUUCACCGUGGUGAAAAGCCAUGAGUGCAGUGAACGUGGGGAAUCUUUUAGCCAGAGCUCUCGCCUCAUUAGACACCAGAGAAUUCACGCUGGAGAAAGGCCUUAUGAGUGCAGUGAAUGGAAAGUCCUUUAUCUUCAACCCCCAUCUCCUAAAAUGCCAGAAUGUUCACAAGGACUAAAGGCCUUUACAUAAUAUAGGUAAGUCUGUUAUGGACUGAAUUGUAUCCCUCAAGAUUCAUAUGUUCAAAGCCUAACAGCCAGUGUAACUCUGUGUUUAGGUAUGUCCUAUAAGGAGAUAACUAAGGACAGAUGAGAUCGUAAGAACGGGGUCCUAAUCCAGUGUGACUUGUGUCCGUGGAAGAAGACAAGGCACCAGAAGGUGCUCACUUUCUCGCUGUAUUAAUGAACAGAGGAAAGGCCAUUUAAUGACACACCAAGAAGGUGGUUGAUUAGAAGUCAGAAAGAAAGGCCUCACCAGAAACCAUUCCUGAUGGCACCUUGGUCGUAGACUCCCAGCCUCUAGAAAUAGGAGAAAAUACAUUUCUUUAAGCCACCCAGUCUGUGGUAUUUUGUUGUGGCAGCCUGAAAAGAAACAAAGAUGCAAAGAAGGUACCACAUUGUAUUCUGUUUUUGCCACUGAUAAUAGUAGACACAAAUAACCCUGAGAAUGUAUAGAAUAGUAAAGCAUAGUGAAAUAAUUAGGAAGUUACAAAUUUUAAGAGUUACCUUUGGUUUUUAAACAGCUUUACUGAAGUACAAUCAGUUGUCAUUCACGCUAGUCUUGUUCUCUAAUUCACUGAAUCAGUGAAUAUAGAGCCGUUGUUCCUAGGGGAAAUCUGGAAUUAG